CAAGGAAUGCUGGAGCCAUCAAAAACCAGACAAGGGAAAGAACUGAUUGCCCGUAGAGCCUUCAGAAGGGUACAAUACUGUUUUGAUUAUUCUCACUUUGUUGUAUAUCUUGAGCUCUGGGACUGUGAUACUUCCAGCUUUAUUCCUCUUUCUCAAGAUUGCUUUGGUAUGGUACCAGUCAAGCCUCACCCCCAGGUAGCCACAGGGUCUCCAUCUGCCUUGAGGUCAACACACA